rnacentral:rRNA from 1 species
UACAGAGGUCUCAAGCGUUGUUCGGAUUCAUUGGGCGUAAAGGGUGCGUAGGUGGCGUGGUAAGUCGGGUGUGAAAUUUCGGAGCUUAACUCCGAAACUGCAUUCGAUACUGCCGUGCUUGAGGACUGGAGAGGAGACUGGAAUUUACGGUGUAGCAGUGAAAUGCGUAGAGAUCGUAAGGAAGACCAGUGGCGAAGGCGGGUCUCUGGACAGUUCGACACUGAGGCACGAAGGCCAGGGGAGCAAACGGG